AUGAACGCUAGCUACAGGCUUAACACAUGCAAGUCGAGGGGCAGCAUGGUCUUAGCUUGCUAAGGCCGAUGGCGACCGGCGCACGGGUGAGUAACACGUAUCCAACCUGCCGUCUACUCUUGGACAGCCUUCUGAAAGGAAGAUUAAUACAAGAUGGCAUCAUGAGUCCACAUGUUCACAUGAUUAAAGGUAUUCCGGUAGACGAUGGGGAUGCGUUCCAUUAGAUAGUAGGCGGGGUAACGGCCCACCUAGUCUUCGAUGGAUAGGGGUUCUGAGAGGAAGGUCCCCCACAUUGGAACUGAGACACGGUCCAAACUCCUACGGGAGGCAGCAGUGAGGAAUAUUGGUCAAUGGGCGAGAGCCUGAACCAGCCAAGUAGCGUGAAGGAUGACUGCCCUAUGGGUUGUAAACUUCUUUUAUAAAGGAAUAAAGUCGGGUAUGCAUACCCGUUUGCAUGUACUUUAUGAAUAAGGAUCGGCUAACUCCGUGCCAGCAGCCGCGGUAAUACGGAGGAUCCGAGCGUUAUCCGGAUUUAUUGGGUUUAAAGGGAGCGUAGAUGGAUGUUUAAGUCAGUUGUGAAAGUUUGCGGCUCAACCGUAAAAUUGCAGUUGAUACUGGAUAUCUUGAGUGCAGUUGAGGCAGGCGGAAUUCGUGGUGUAGCGGUGAAAUGCUUAGAUAUCACGAAGAACUCCGAUUGCGAAGGCAGCCUGCUAAGCUGCAACUGACAUUGAGGCUCGAAAGUGUGGGUAUCAAACAGGAUUAGAUACCCUGGUAGUCCACACGGUAAACGAUGAAUACUCGCUGUUUGCGAUAUACAGCAAGCGGCCAAGCGAAAGCGUUAAGUAUUCCACCUGGGGAGUACGCCGGCAACGGUGAAACUCAAAGGAAUUGACGGGGGCCCGCACAAGCGGAGGAACAUGUGGUUUAAUUCGAUGAUACGCGAGGAACCUUACCCGGGCUUAAAUUGCAGAUGAAUUACGGUGAAAGCCGUAAGCCGCAAGGCAUCUGUGAAGGUGCUGCAUGGUUGUCGUCAGCUCGUGUCGUGAGAUGUUGGGUUAAGUCCCGCAACGAGCGCAACCCUUGUUGUCAGUUACUAACAGGUUCUGCUGAGGACUCUGACAAGACUGCCAUCGUAAGAUGUGAGGAAGGUGGGGAUGACGUCAAAUCAGCACGGCCCUUACGUCCGGGGCUACACACGUGUUACAAUGGGGGGUACAGAGGGCCGCUACCACGCGAGUGGAUGCCAAUCCCCAAAACCUCUCUCAGUUCGGACUGGAGUCUGCAACCCGACUCCACGAAGCUGGAUUCGCUAGUAAUCGCGCAUCAGCCACGGCGCGGUGAAUACGUUCCCGGGCCUUGUACACACCGCCCGUCAAGCCAUGGGAGCCGGGGGUACCUGAAGUGCGUAACCGCGAGGAGCGUCCUAGGGUAAAACUGGUGACUGGGGCU
rnacentral:rRNA from 1 species